rnacentral:rRNA from 1 species
AGAGUUUGAUCCUGGCUCAGGGCGAACGCUGGCGGCACGCCUCAUACAUGCAAGUCGAGCGAUCGGCUACUGGGUGCUUGCACUCGGUAGUACGGAGCGGCGAACGGGUGAGUAACACGUGGGCAAUCUGCCUCGAGGACGGGGACAACUCCGGGAAACUGGAGCUAAUACCCGAUAACCCGGUUGGAUCGCAUGGUCCGAUCGGCAAAUGGUUCUUCCGCCUCGAGAGGAGCCCGCGGCCUAUCAGCUUGUUGGUGGGGUAACGGCCUACCAAGGCGAUGACGGGUAGCCGGCCUGAGAGGGUGUUCGGCCACACCGGGACUGAGACACGGCCCGGACUCCUACGGGAGGCAGCAGUAGGGAAUCUUCCGCAAUGGACGAAAGUCUGACGGAGCAACGCCGCGUGAGUGAUGAAGGCUUUCGGGUCGUAAAACUCUGUUGUUAGGGAAGAACAAGUGCUAGUUGAAUAAGCUGGCACCUUGACGGUACCUAACCAGAAAGCCACGGCUAACUACGUGCCAGCAGCCGCGGUAAUAGCCCGUACGUCAGAAGAAGGUCCGGCUAACUACGUGCCAGCAGCCGCGGUAAUA